rnacentral:snRNA from 1 species
AUCGCUUCUCGGCCUUUUGGCUAAGAUCAAGUGUAGAUCUUGCCGUAUUGUAAUUUCUUUUUAAGUGGGAAAGAAUAACAAAAGCAACCUAGAAAUCCCUUCCCCAAUUCUAUAUAUUGAAUAUUUAUAAAUUACAGCAUA